rnacentral:lncRNA from 10 species
AAGGGCCCAUUGUCUGCAGUGAGGCUUUUUGUUCCAGCAGUGGCCUGGGGAAACUGGGAUUGGGCUGGGGGCCUGACUGGUUCCCAGGGGCUCCUGGUGGGUGUUGGGGUGUGAACCCAGGCGGACCCCUCUCCGCUCUCCCCCGCUGUCCGCCCCGAUCCCAUCUACCAGGCUGCUGUGCCGGGCACCGCUCACCUGUGCCUCGGCUCUGUCCGAGAUUCUCGCCCCUGCAGACCUCCUCUGCCACCCUCUGAGGCCCAUAGCACGUGCUCCUUCCUCCAGGCCGGGGUUCCUGUUACUUCCUUUAGCCUCAUUCAAUCCAACUGCACUUUAAGAGGGUAGGUGUCGGGAGCUGGGCUUCUCCCUGAGAUUUUGGCUCCAGGCAUUACCGCAGCCCGGUUUUCUUUUCCCUUUCACUGCAGCGGAGGGACGCCCAGGCUUUGGGCGCCGCCUGGGUCUGCAGCAGAGGCAGUGGCCUAACCCUGAGAGGUAGCCCAAGGUCAGGCCAGGGUCUGCGUCCUCCCCUCAGCUCUGCUGUCACAGACGACUGUGAACCCGCGGAGCUCCCAUCUCUGGAGCCUGGCCUGGGCCAGCGGCUCACAGUGCUGCGUGCGCAGUGCCUGGCUCAAUCCCACCUGCAGCCUGGGAAGUCACAGGGUCACCCAGGGCUCCACGGCCUCCCUGACCACAAAAGGGGAAUCGCUGCAGCUCCUGGCAGUGGGCGUGGUCCCCUGUGAGGCUCCGGGGCUUCCAACACCUGAAAAUAUAAUUAUAAAAGUAAUGUAUUCAUACUUUCAAAAUUCUGGAAAUUACAGAAAAGUAUAAAGGAGGUAUUAAGAAUUAAUAAUUCUACCAACCAGGCAACAAGGUCUUUUGAAGACGUACCAAAAAAAUCAAUUACCACUAGACUCCAACUACAAGAAAUAUUCAAGAAAGCUUUUUAAGCUGAAGAAAAAUAAUACUAAAUAGAAACAUGGAGCUACACAAAGGAAUGAAGAGGACCAGAAAUGGAGGCUACAUUGUCAAGCAUAAAUACUUUCUCUUAUCAUUUAAGUAUCUUUAAAAGAUGGUCAAUUGUGUAAAGCAAAAAUGAUAGGAAUGUACUCUGGGGCUUAUAAAAUAUUUAGAAGUAAAAUGUAUGACAUAAUAGCAUAAAGGCCAAAUGAAAGAUCCUUUUGGACACACUGUGUCUUUUUUCCCUGCUGCUUUGAGGGUUUUCUCUUUUUUGUUGAUUUUAAGCAAUUUGAAUAUGGUAUGAUGAAGUCUUAUUUUCUUUAUGUUUCUUCUGCUUGUGAUUCAUCGAGCUUCUUGUAUUUGUGGGUUCACAGUUUUCAUAACAUUUUAAAAAUAUUUGAACACUUUUACUUCAAAUAUUCUUGGUCUCUUUUCAUUCUCCUUUUCUCAAAAUAUAAUGCUGUAAAGUCUUUAUAAUAUACAUGACGUGGUAUACAAUUGGUUGAAAGUUGAAUGUGAUUAAAGUUGUGUACUAUAAGCUAUAAAUUUCACUAAAAUAACACAGCACAAAGUUAUAGCUAACAAGCCAACAAAGAAUAUUAUGAAUAACUUUAGGCCAAUAAAUCCAACAACUUACAUGAAAUGGAAAAGUUUCUUACAAGACAGAAACUACAACACUUCACUUAAGAAUAAAUAGAUAACUUGAAUAGCCAUGUAUAUAAAAUAAUUUGAAUUUUUACUUAAAAACCCUGCCACAAAGAAAACUUUAGGAUCAGAGGGCUUCACUGGUGAAUUCUACCAAACAUGUAAGGAAGACGUAAUACCAGUUCUGCAUUGUCUACCCCAGAAAUUUGAAGAAGGAGUAAGACUUUCAAACUCAUUUUAUAAGGCAAGCAUUACUUUGAUAUCAAAACCAGACAAAAAUGUUACAAGGAAAGAGAACUACAGAUGCAUAUUCCUCAUAAACAUAGAUGCAAACAUUCUUUAUGAAUUUGAGCAAAUCAAAUGCAAUUAUAUAUAUGUGUGUAUCUCUAUGUGUGUGUGUGUGUGUGUGUGUGUAUAUAUAUAUAUAUAUGAAUGAAUGAGUGAUGUAUCAUGACCACGUAAGGUUUAUCCUAGGGCUUUAAUAUUCAAAAAUCAAUUAAUGAAGUACACUAUAUUAAUAAACUAACAAAGAGACAUGUGAUUAUUUCACUAGAUACAGCAAAAGCAUUUGACAAAAUCUAACAUCUAUUCCAGGUAAAAACAUUUUGCAAACUAGGAAUAGAGGGAAAUUUCAUUGACAUUUUAAGGAGCAUCUACAUAAAAACUUACAGCUAAUGUCAUAAGUAAUCGUGAAAGAUUAAAUGCUUUUCCCUAAGACUGGAAACAAUGCAGGGGUGACCACUCUCAUCACUUCUAUGUAACAUUUUAUUGGAGGUUCUAGUCAAGGUAAUGAGGCAAGAAAGAGAAAGAAAAGAGAUCCAGGAAUAAAAAUAGAGAAGUAAAAGUGUCUUUAUUCUCAGAUGACAUAAUUGUCUUCAUCAAAAAUCUGAUGGAAUCUACAAAAAAUGCUAUUAGGACUAACUAAUAAGUUAUUUUAGCAAGGUUACAGGAUAUUAGAUUAAAUUACAAAAGUCAAUUGUAUUUCCAUUUACCAGCAAUGGACAAUUGGGAAUUGAAAUUUAAAAAUACCAUUUACCUAUAGCACAAAAACAUAAAAUAUUUAUAGAUAAAUCUGAUAACAUAUGUGCAAGACCUGUACACUGAAAACAUGGCUAAAUGAAGUUAAAGAAGACCUAAAUGAAGUCAUAGCUGUAUUGAGAUUACACAUCAGAAGAUGCGAUAUUGUUAUCUAUUUUUUCCUAAAUUGAUUAUAGAUUCAAUAUAAUCAAAAUUCCAACAGGAUUCUUUUGUAGAAAUUUGUAAGACAAUUCUAAAAUUCAUAUGGAAAUGCAAAAGGCUGAGAAUAGCCAAACAACUUUGAACAAGAACAGAGUUGGAGAAUUUACAUUGCCUGACUUCAAGACUUAUAAAGUCAUGGUAACUAAAACAUGAUGGCAUUGUUCAAGCUCGACAAAUAGAUGAAUGAAUCAGAAUACAGAACCCAGAAAUAGACCCAUGUGUAUAUGGUCAAUUGAUUUUCAACAGAGGCACAAAGACGAUUGGAGAAAAGAUAGUCUUUUGAACAAAAGAUACUAGAACAAUUGGAUAUCCAUAUGCAAAAAUAAACUGAUUCAUACCUUUUACUCUAUAAAAUUAACUCAAAAGAUAUCAUAGAGAUAAAUGUAAAACCUGAAAUUAUAGAACAUCUAGAAUAAAAUAUAGGAGAGAAUCUUUGUGACCUUGAGUUAAGCAAAUAUUUCUUAGAGACAACACAAAAUGCACAAUCUAUAAAAUCAAAAACUGAUACAGUGGACUACGCUGAAAUUAAGAACAUCUGCUCUUUGAAAGACACCAAAAUAACAAGCCACUGUCUUGGAGAACGUAUUUGCAAAUCACAUAUCUGAUAAAGGAGUUGUAUCCACAAUAUAUAGUUUAAAAAAAAAACUCAAAAAUUCAAUAAUAAGAAGACAACCCAAUUUAAAAGAUGUGCAACAGGUUUUCAAAAACAAUUCAUCAAAGAAGAUAUACAGAUGGCAAAUAAGCACAUAAAAAGGCACAUCAUUAGUCAUUAGGGAAAUACAAAUUUAAAAUGCAAUGAGAUAUCACUACUCACCUAUUAGAAUGUCUGAAUUUAAAAAUGACCAACCCUCCCAAUUAUUAGCAAGGAUGUGGAGCAGACAUGCACAGCUGGUGGGAAUGUAGAAUGGUACACCCACUUUGGGAAAGUGUUUGGCAGUUUCUUUAAAGCAGGGGUGUUCAAUCUUUUGUCUUCCCUGGACCCCAUUGGAAGAAGAAUUGUCUUGGGCCACACAUAAAAUACACGAACACUAACGAUAGCUGAUGAGUUAAAAAAAAAUCACAAAAGAACUCAUGAUGUUUUAAGAAAGUUUACGAAUUUGUGUUGGGCUGCAUUCAAAGCCGUCCUGGGUUGGACAACCAGCUUGCUUUAAAGGUUAAACAUAUGUCUACCACACGACUCACGCAUUCCACCACUAAGUAGUUAUUUACCCAAGAGAAAUGUAAGCAUAUGUCCUUACGAAGGCUUGCACCUGAAUAUUAGUAGUGGUUUUAUUUGUAAUAGUUCAAAACUGGAAGCAACUCAAAUUGUCCAUCAACAUCUGAAAGGAUAAACAAAUUGUGGUAUACCUGUGUAAUUAAAUACUACUCAGCGAUUAAAAGACUUGAACGAUUGAGAGAUACAAUUGUGUGGAUGGUUCUCAGAAUCAUUAAAUGCUAGAUAAAUAAGCUAGAAGCCAGACAAGUAAGAGUCCAUGCGGCAUAAUUGCAAAUAAAAUUCUAGAAAUUGGAAAGCAUAGUGACAGAAAGCAGAUCAGUGGUUGCGUGGGGAUGAACAGAGUUGGGAAGGAAGGAGGGACAGAUUGGAAAAGGAAGAGGAGAGUUUUGAGGGAUGAUUAAUGUGUUCAAUAUCUUGAUUGUGGUGAGAGUUUCAUAAAUGUAUACAUAAAUCCACACUUCAUCAAAUUGUACAUUUUAGAAGUGUGGUUUAUUGUAUGUCAAUUAUACCUCAAAAAGCUUUUUAAGGAAAACUCUCAAAAGAUUUAUAACAAAGAGUAUACAGUAGUUUUUGAUCUGAUUAUUUAGUUUUUAAAUUUUUUAUUUAAAAACUUUAGAAUUUUUUAUUUUAAAGUUUUUUUAUUUUUUAUUCCACCUUGGUUCAUGGGAAUUUUAGGAUAU